GACGGGAAGGAGACCCAGGAUAACAGGGCACUCAGAGAAGGCGUGGGGGGGGCGUGUGGGACCUCUCUCUCCAUCUCUCACUCACUCUCUCUGCCUCCUUUACUCUGCAGUGUUUUAGGUGGUGGCUAUGGGGCCCCAGAGGCUGCUCUGGGAACGACAAACACCCAGAAGUAAAGCAAGUGGAGAAAAGCCAAUCAGACAGGUUUCCUGAGACCUGGGGCAGGAGAGGAAGAGACCUCUAGGGACAGCACAGACCAGGAGGGGAUUGAGGAGCCAAGGACAGGACAGGACGGACACCUUGCACUGCUAACCUGCUACACCUUUUGAAUUCAGGACCACGUGAAUAAGUUACCUACUGAAACCUUAAGUUGAGGACACAGAGGCACAGAGAUGUCAUCCAAGUUAUCCAAGGUCACACAGCUGGCAUUGCUAAGCUGAAGGAAUGUAAAUUCAGAGCUGCUGGUAGCCUUACUUAUCACCUUCAAGAGAGAAGUGAACUUAAAAGUGAGC